rnacentral:rRNA from 1 species
AACGAACGCUGGCGGCAGGCUUAACACAUGCAAGUCGAACGCCCUCUUCGGAGGGAGUGGCAGACGGGUGAGUAACGCGUGGGAACCUACCCAGUAGUACGGAAUAACUCAGGGAAACUUGUGCUAAUACCGUAUACGCCCUACGGGGGAAAGAGUUUAUCGCUAUUGGAUGGGCCCGCGUUGGAUUAGUUUGUUGGUGAGGUAACGGCUCACCAAGGCUACGAUCCAUAGCUGGUCUGAGAGGGUGAUCAGCCACACUGGGACUGAGACACGGCCCAGACUCCGUACGGGAGGCAGCAGGUGGGGAAUAUUGGACAAGUGGGGGAAAACCCUGAUCCAGCCAUGCCGCGUGAGUGAAGAAGGCCUUAGGGUUGUAAAGCUCUUUCGCUAGGGAAGAUAAUGACGGUACCUAGUAAAGAAGCCCCGGCUAACUUCGUG